AUGGAGGUGGGCUUCCUGGGGCUGGGCAUCAUGGGCAAGGCAAUGGCGGCCAACCUCCUCCGCCACGGCUUCCGCGUCACCGUCUGGAACCGGACCCUCUCCAAGUGCGACGAGCUCGUCGCGAUGGGUGCCGCCGUCGGGGACACUCCGGCGUCCGUCGUCGCCAAGUGCAAGUACACCAUCGCCAUGCUCUCCGAUCCCAGCGCCGCCCUAUCUGUGGUUUUCGACAAGGAUGGUGUGCUCGAGCAAAUCGGAGAGGGCAAGGGCUACGUGGACAUGUCCACUGUCGAUGCUGCAACUUCUUGCAAGAUAAGCGAGGCGGUUAAACAAAAGGGCGGAGCUUUUGUUGAAGCUCCAGUUUCAGGGAGCAAGAAGCCAGCUGAAGAUGGCCAAUUGGUCAUUCUUGCUGCAGGCGACAAGGCACUAUAUGAUGAUAUGGUCCCUGCAUUUGAUGUACUUGGGAAGAAGUCGUUCUUUCUGGGGGAGAUGGGAAAUGGAGCAAAGAUGAAACUGGUGGUCAACAUGAUCAUGGGAAGUAUGAUGAAUGCUUUUUCUGAGGGACUCUGUUUGGCUGACAAAAGUGGGUUGAGCCCCCAGACGCUUCUUGAUGUCCUGGAUCUCGGUGCAAUCGCAAAUCCGAUGUUCAAGAUGAAAGGGCCUUCAAUGCUGCAGGGCAGCUACAAUCCAGCGUUUCCCCUCAAACAUCAGCAGAAGGAUAUGAGGUUGGCUCUGUCGUUGGGAGAUGAAAAUGCCGUGUCCAUGCCAGUGGCAGCUGCUUCCAAUGAGGCAUUCAAGAAAGCAAGAAGCUUGGGACUUGGCGACCUGGAUUUUUCUGUGGUGCACGAGGUGCUGAAAGGCACAGGUGGUUCAGGCUAA
rnacentral:rRNA from 1 species